GCGCCGCGUCCUCCCCUAUGCGUCUCCCUUCUCAGCACCUGUACCUGGGAUUCUGGAAGGGUGCUCCUGCCCGCGCGCGGACCCCCCGGAGCUCUGGCCUCACCCCCCGACCGGAUGAGGAAACUGAGGGACAGAGGAGCCAAGUAACUGGGGCAAAAUGUCACACACGAUACAGAAAAGUGAGGUUCCUCUCUGGAUCACUGCCUCCAUGACCUUCAGCAAGUCAAUUCAAUGCUAAGAAUCUCAGCUUUUUCCUCUUCACAGAAAAGAAAUUAGAUUUUUGUGGCAUCUGCUUCUCCCUAAAUUCUGGGAAGCCUCGUCCAGACGGGAAGACGGAGGGACACUGCAUCGGAGCUUGGACGCUGGGGUCAGACUGGCUGGGUCAGUGCCUAACUUUUAGCUUCUUGCCCCGUGUGACCCAGGUUGCUUGGCCAGAUCUCCUUCCAUAAAGUUGCACGAAGCCCCUUGGUCCUGGGUGCUUAGGAGAGGACACCUGUCGCACAGAGCGUCCUGGAUUUUCCCUCCUGGAUCACAGCGCUGAGAAGGUACCAAGACCUGCUCACCCACAGGCUCCCUCAGCUCGCCCUUGGGAGGUUGAACUGUCAGUCAUCGCUGAGCGAUGUUAGGCUGUGGAUCUGCUGGACGGGGACCCUUCGCUGCCGUGGGGCUGGACCUGGUUAAACGCAGACACACAUGAGGAACGUUCUUUCAUCACAAAUGGAGCCGUUCUCAGAGUCGGCUGUGGGUUAGAAGUUACAGGGUCCCGCCCUUCAAGGACCCACCCCCUCCCCUUCCGCUCCAAAGUGCUGGUUAGAAACAUUACCCACUUUUGCUGUAACCAAAACAAAAGCUCACCAGCAAGGCAGAAUCACAACACCUUCCAAAGAACUUGGCUGAGGCUCUCCGGAGCUUUCCCUCUGUUGCCCUCCGCAUCCAGACCAACCCGUGCAGGGUCCCAGUUCCUCUCCGAAGGUCUUCCCUUCCCCGGGAGCCACCAGCCAGUGGGUACAUUAACUGGGGGAAAGACGUUCCGUAAAUGCUACUGUGCUGGCUACAUUCAGAAGACAGGCGUUCACCUCUUGAGGAGUCUUCCGGGAACGUGAAGCGGGAGUCGGAUCGGAGAAUUCCUGGAGGAGCCAGGGAGACGCCCAGAAUCGAAGUCUGGGUGGCAUUUAGUUUGCUGACAGCCCCAGGGUGGGGUCUUUGUCAAGCAUUACGUCCCAUCUUUUCCAGGCACCGAGGGGCGGUGGCGGGUGAAGCCCCUCUGCGUCCCCCACGUAUAACCCUGUUAAACAGGAUGAUCGAGGUUUUCUGCUGCUUCCUCUGCUGUGUCAUUUUGGUGAGAGAGAGAGAAGGCAAGGAGAACUAAGCCACAGGUAAUGCGUUCCCGGUGGGUGUGCGUGUUUUCAGGUCUGAGAACAAACGCGCACCUCUUUGGGAAAGCCACCACCGCACGGGCGCACACGCUCCCUUACGCACGUCCGUGGGAAGAGCCACGCCGACGACAGCGUGCACCUCCGAAGGCGGCCGUGAGAAGCUCUGCCGGGCUG